GAAGAGCUGGUCUGAGAGCAGGAAAUACUGCAGAGAUCGAGGAGCUGAUCUGGUCAUUAUCAACACUGAAGAGAAGCAGAGGUUCAUAACUUCAUUCAUCAAGGAGAGUGUGGAUUGGUAUGUCUGACACUGAGACUGAGGGGAUCAUGAAAUGGGUGGAUAAUUCACCACUGAAACAAGGGUUUUGGUAUGAAGAAGAGCCAAAUAAUGCCGGUGGAGGCGAGGACUGUGUUGAACUGAUGCCUUCGAAUCCCAUCCAGAACUGGAAUGAUCUCCCAUGCUCUGAGAAGA